rnacentral:lncRNA from 1 species
UAGAUUAUUUUAUAAAUUUCAACCAUUAGAAGCUUACGGAUUUUAAGAAAUGAAGGUACAGUAUUAGCAGACUUCCAUGCACUAAUUUAGCGAAGUUGAGGAAAAUUUGAAGCAUGAAAUGUUAGCAACAAAACACAAGAUUCAGUUGGUCUCGAUCACUUUGUGAGCUAUAACUGGCUUCUUUCCCGUGACUUUGGAUUACAACAUAGAAAGGACAGAUUGUCGUAAAAUUAUUUACAACCUAUGAUGUAUAAUACCUAAAUAAGGGUGAAGCGCCACGGGCAUUCCACUCAAGUGGACAGCAUCCAAAUCCGAGUCUUGGUCAUUCAUCUAAUGUUACUACCAGCAAAAGCAGUACCAAUUGGGCAUUUUGAGAAGCCAAAAUUGA